UGCCAGGCUUGACCGGGGCGCUCGGCGUGCCCUUUUACACCGAAAUCGUCGAUAGCGGGGGUGACAGCCUGCAGAGACGUAACCAUGAGAGCAGAGGCCCAGUAUGUGACGAUGAGACUUCGUCCGCCGGGGCGCGAGGAUCCGGAACGACAUGCCUGGAGGGGUGUGACUUCCGGACUGAUCGCGGGGAUCGGGUCAGGCCCUGACGGGAGCAUCCUUACCGCGGACUACGCACGCUCGGCGGGAAGCGGGGUCGAGGAGCCUGCUGCAAACCUCUGCUCAAGUGGCCGGCGAUGCAGGUGGCCUGGUU
rnacentral:SRP_RNA from 2 species